GGGAGUAUAGCUCAGUGAUAGAGCUUGCACUUAGCAUGCAUGAGGUUCUAGGUUCAAUCCCCAGUCCCUCCA
rnacentral:tRNA from 1 species